GCCCUUCAAGUGCAUCACCAAAAAAAACCAUCCCAGAAGGGACAUUGGCUGCUGUCUUCUGACCCACCCUGUGUGGCUUUGGCGUCUCCUGUGACCUCCCAGUAUGGGUCUUGGCCUCAUCCUGCCUCUUUGUCUUUCUGGCCCACCACCCACAGCUUGAAUCUCAGGCUCCAACAGUUGCCUGACCCCCAGAUUCUGAUGACAGCCUACCUACUUGUUCUUCAGGCCCUCACCAGACUCACUGCCCAGACACACCACACAGGAG
rnacentral:lncRNA from 10 species